rfam:Arabidopsis thaliana chromosome 3, complete sequence.
UGAUGCGAUCAUACCAGCACUAAUGCACCGGAUCCUAUCAGAACUCCGCGGUUAAGCGUGCUUGGGCUAGAGUAGUACUAGGAUGGGUGACCUUCCGGAAAGUCCUCGUGUUGCAUCCC